UACGUAGGGAGCAAGCGUUGUCCGGAUUUAUUGGGCGUAAAGAGCUCGUAGGCGGCUUAGAAAGUCAGGUGUGAAACCUCCAGGCUCAACCUGGAGACGCCACUUGAUACUUCUAUGGCUUGAGUUCGGUAGGGGACCACGGAAUUCCUGGUGUAGCGGUGAAAUGCGCAGAUAUCAGGAGGAACACCGAUGGCGAAGGCGGCUUCUUGGGCCAUUACUGACGCUGAGGCGCGAAAGCCAGGGGAGCGAACGGG
rnacentral:rRNA from 1 species